rnacentral:lncRNA from 1 species
GAAACGUUUUCAUUCACAGACGCUGUGGAUAAAUCCCAAAGAGAGAGCUAGCAAAAGAGGGAGCUUUUUUAAGUUUAAAGAAAAAAAAAUAAUAAAAGGUCCGUAAAUCAGAAGGCUCUGACAAGCUACCCAGGAAAUACGCAAUUACAGAGCAAUCAGCCAGUGCAGGGAUCUCAACAUAGCCAUUGUGUGUGCCUCUGCUGUUCCAGAGGACAAAAGGAGCCAGCACGGCUGGGGAUCAAGGCGAGGCGGGCGCGCCCACACCUUGUGGGAAGCGGAGGCGGCCACCGCGUGCAGGAAGGGUCUCCCAGGUGGCCGGAGAACCCACAGGCGUGUACGGACAAGGUGCCCUGGGUGCCCUGGCUGACCCCUGGUCAGCCCGGCCAGGGGUAGAGACCUUCCCGGAAGGCGAAGAUCGCAUAGCCAAGUGGAAGAAGCCAAGUGAAGGGCUAUGGGGACCUAGAAGAUGGAGUCGUCACACAGUGGAAGAAUUGCAGAUCUCUGAGUCACCAUUUGGACAAGAACCUACUAGAACAGGUGCCUGAACAAGAACACUGGACUUUGUGGAUACUGCUGGAAGAUGGACAGUGAAUUGUCAGAAUUCAGAAGUUCCAGGUCAGAGGUUGACUCAGCCACCCCUGGGCUGAUGGAACCAUCAGAAGGAUCCUCUGAUUCAGUCCCCAAACUGGGCCCUGUGGAGCAGCAUCCCAGACAGCAGGAAUCGGACCUGCAAUUACUCCUUGGGACUCAGGGAGGAGUUUUAACAAGAAAACUGCACAUCUUCAGAGCAGGUGGUCUUUUCUGUCUCUAUAAUCAAACAAAAAUUUUUUUCGACUGUUCUAUAACAGACUGCUGCCUGGGAUCCUAGAACUGUUGCGUUUUUGAUCUUCCUCUUCGCAGCAUGGACAGUGGAUCCCCUUGAUCUGCAAGCCCUGCCCUGCCUCUCUCUGCACGCUGGGGGUUCAGGGAGGCUACACCCUUGGGGGGCACUGGGAGCUGCUGGAGAUGUGCACAGCGAGCAGUGGAGAGCAGUCGUCUCUUCUGAUCUACAUGCAGGGGAACUGGUGAGAGUUGCCGUAGGACCUCUGGUGAAAUUACCUUGGCUACUGACUAGUAAAGAGAUGAGAAAGGAGAGGUACUAUAGAUUUUCUUUAAGAAAUAAAUAUUGUCUCCUCUUUCUCUCUUUUCUCUGGUAAACAGUGCCCAAAUUUGGAAAUAUCACGUGUAAUUUAUUGUCCCACUUUAAAUGUUUCUUGUAACCAUGAAUUACUAUUCUUGGAUCAGAUUCCAUUAUAAUAAACUCCCACUUGGACUCCAAAUUCUUUUACAACAGUGGAAUUUUGCUUGAACUAACGCAUUGUUAUAAAUCACAUUUUCUGACCCCAGCCUGGAGUUCA